CCUUGAUGAUACUGGACUGAACCUCUGAACCUUGAUGGGAACAGAACCAGAAUGGGGGACGUUGCUGGGGAGAAGGACUGCAAAGGUUAAACAGGUUGAGUUGUCUGGCAGCUCCAAGAACAGGAGUUUUCUUUGGGAACUAAGACUCACUGGAGGUAGCUGAAUGCAAGCAAAUUGCCUGGCUUGUUUGUAAUGAACAAACGUGGUACCUGUGGGAUCCCUUUGAGGGGGUCACUGGACUUAUACUUCAUUCAUCAUAAUUUCCCUGGGAAAUACACACUCCUCACAAUAUCCCCUGAGCAGACAGGUAAACUCCAUCUCACCAGAGCACCACCUGGUCCAGUCACUUGCUUAAACUCU